CCGCUCUGUGAGGACACUGCAGUCAGCUGGGCACUUGAAAAAUAAACACAGAUGACAAAACGGAGCGAGGACUUCUGCAAGUCUAAUCCACUCCACAGAGUUGCCACUGCUAAGUCGGUGGUGUCACCGUGACACAAAACUGAAGAGCGUAACACAAGCAAACGUUGGGAAAUCACCGUAGAAACCACUCUACCCUGAAGAUACCCAGGCCAUCGAUGAGUCAUCAAAGCCAUUUCAGAAAGAGACAGAAGUAAGCUCCUGCUUUGGUCUCAACACUAAGGACUGUGCACAUGACAACGGGCAUCUCACAGCGAGAGCUGCUCAGGUAUUGAAGAGCUGGAUGAAAUCUCUGUGGCAGAUUUUAGCUUUGCAUGAUCGAUCGGCUCCUAAAACGCUUGGGCGUUCCAGGAAUCUGAAUGGAUAGCGUCACCAUCAAGGGAAGAAAAGAUCUACUCUCUACAAAGCUCUAUGCCUUUGCGAAUGGGAAGACUCGUGCGCUGGUUGGUUUCUGUUGACCCCACACAAAUGUGUGUGGGAAGCAGGAAUCUUGAUUGAGAAAGCACCUUCAGAAGAUUGGCCUGUAGGAAGUCUGGGGGUGCUGGGGGAUUCAUGAUUGAUGUGGAAUGACCCAACUCAUGGUGGACUAUGCCAUUCCUGGGCAGGAGGUUCUGGGCUGUGUAAGAAAGCCGAUUGAGCAAUAAAACGAUUAGCAAGUCAAUAAGCAGUGUUCCUUCACCUUUUAGGUCCUGCCUUCAGUUCCUGCCCUGACUUACCUCCAUGAUGGAGUAUUACCUGAAAGUUGUUAAGGAGAAAUAAAUCCUUUCCUUCCCAUUGUUUUUGGUCAUGGUGGUUUACGGCAGGAAUAGAAAGUUAAAAUGGAUCUGAACACAGGACAUGAGGCCAAGGCCUAAGCUCAUUUGUCUUUCCAGAUGGAACACGUCAUUUCAUUGAGCGCUAGACUGUACACCAUUGAAGCACCAGGCGUCACUUUGUAAAACGGCAGAUAAAAUCAUUGCACCUUCUUCCAAGGGUCAGCUAGAGGCACGCGUGACAUCAAUUGCAUGAGAUCUCCCGCUAUUCUGCAGACACACGCAGAAAGAGUUCCUGAACCUGAUGAGACGAAGAUCUUCUCUUCUGACCCCAGCCCCAUAGCUCACUGUGAUGAUAUCUGGCCCCAGUUUCUGAGUUAAAACUCAUGGCGUAAAUGUUUAUGUCCUCUCAAAUUCCUGAGUUGAACCCCUUGUCCCUGGUGUGAACGUAUUUGGAGGAGGGGGCCUUUCAAAAGUGACGAGUUUAUGUGGAUAAAGGUUAUGUGAUGGAGUUAGUGCCCUAAUAAAGAAGACCUGAAGA